AUAAUGAUACUCCCGUACAGCUACAGUCCGAGCGUUAAAAGCGCCGCAGGCAAUAGGUACGGCCGCAUGAGAACCAUGCGGGGGUGGGAUUCCCGUG
rnacentral:ncRNA from 1 species